rnacentral:tRNA from 1 species
GAAGGUGUAGCUCAAGUGGUAGAGCGCAUGCUUAGCAUGCAUAAGGUCCUGGGUUCAAUCCCUAGUACCUCCG